rnacentral:rRNA from 1 species
GUAACAAGGUUUCCGUAGGUGAACCUGCGGAAGGAUCAUUAUCGAAUGAAAUGGGCUGUUGCUGGCUUCUUGCAUGUGCACGCCUUGUCAUUAUUUCUCCUCUGUGCACCGACUGUAGGUCUGGAGUUUUUCAGGUCUAUGUUUUUACAAUCACUCUAUGUGUGUUUGGAAUGUGAAUAAUAAUAAAAUAUAUAUACAACUUUCAGCAACGGAUCUCUUGGCUCUCGCAUCGAUGAAGAACGCAGCGAAAUGCGAUAAGUAAUGUGAAUUGCAGAAUUCAGUGAAUCAUCGAAUCUUUGAACGCAUCUUGCGCUCCUUGGUAUUCUGAGGAGCAUGCCUGUUUGAGUGUCAUCAAGUUCUCAACCCAUGGAAUUCAUGGAUUGGAUGGUUGGGAUUUGCAGGCAUUUGAAAAGAAGGUCUGCUUUCCUGAAAUGAAUUAGUGGCAUGUUCUGGGACCACUACAGGUUGUAUUUAUGCCUCUUGUAAAAAGGCCCCAUUGUCCAAGCUGCUUCAAAUUACUGUCACUUUGUUGACCGAUUUGACCUCAAAUCAGGUAGGACUACCC